GACGAACGCUGGCGGCGUGCUUAACACAUGCAAGCCGAACGGAAAGGCCUGCUUUCCCUUGUGGAUUGCGGGUACUCGAGUGGCGAACGGGUGAGUAACACGUGAGUGAUCUGCCCCCAACUUGGGUAUAAGCCUGGGAAACUGGGUCUAAUUCCCGAUAGGACUGCAGGGUGGUGCCUGUGGUGGAAAACGAUUUUCUAGUGGUUGGGGAUGAGCUCGCGGCCUAUCAGCUUGUUGGUGGGGUAAUGGCCUACCAAGGCGGCGACGGGUAGCCGGCCUGAGAGGGUGGACGGCCACAUUGGGACUGAGAUACGGCCCAGACUCCUACGGGAGGCAGCAGUGGGGAAUAUUGCACAAUGGGCGGAAGCCUGAUGCAGCGACGCCGCGUGGGGGAUGACGGCCUUCGGGUUGUAAACUCCUUUCGACCGCGAGGAAGCCACCUGGUUGGAAGGGUGGUGACGGUAGUGGUAGAAGAAGCACCGGCUAACUACGUG
rnacentral:rRNA from 1 species